rnacentral:rRNA from 1 species
UACGUAGGGGGCAAGCGUUGUCCGGAUUUAUUGGGCGUAAAGAGCGUGUAGGCGGCCAGGUAGGUCUGGUGUGAAAACUCGAGGCUUAACCUCGAGAUGUCAUCGGAAACCAUCUGGCUAGAGUCCGGAAGAGGAGAGUGGAAAUUCCGUGGUGUAGCGGUGAAAUGCGCAGAUAUCAGGAAGAACACCAAUGGCGAAAGCAGCUCUCUGGGACGGUACUGACGCUGAGACGCGAAAGCGUGGGGAGCGAACAGG